GUGGGAGGAUCACUUGAGCCCAGGAAGUCAAGGUUGCAGUAAGCUGAGAUGGUGUCCAUGUACUCCAGCCUGGGCAACAGAGCAAGACCCUGUCUUAAUAUGUCAAUCAGUAUUUUAUACUUUUGGAUACUGUAUGGUUUUCCCACCAAAUACCGUCACCACUACCGAAGAACCAUGUAAGUAAAUUCUCUAAAUGGUUCUUAACUUUGUGCCGGACACCUGAGAAUGUGCACAGGUUUAUUAGCUGUGGUCCUUCAUUUUGAGUCUGUAUAGAAUCCUGUUCUCCAGUGAUGUUACUCAGUGUUAUCAGUUUUCUUUUUUCUUCAUGUUGCUUUCUUACUGUAUUCAGAAAAUUUUCUUUAAAAAUGUUUCAGAUUAUUUUCACUUCGGUGGGCCCUUCACUCGUCUCUAAUAAAAUGUGAACUGAAUACAUUUUCAGGUAAGAUCUUUCAGUUCAUGCUGCAGGCUCUCCUGUCUGUGUGAAGAUCUGACCUAUGGAGUACUUUCUCUUCAUUUUUUCCCCCUAUUUCUUUUUGUAAAAUAAAUUUUAUUUUAUAUAUUUGAGGUUUACAACAUGAUGUCGUGGGAUUCACGGAUACUAGUGACUCUAGUGAAGCAAAUUCACCUAUCAAUGAUCUCGCACAUAGUAGGUCCUUUGUAUCUGCACGUUCCACGUUUGCAGAUCCUGCCAACCACAGAUCGAAAAUACUUGGGAGAAAAACCAAAAAAUAAUAAUAUAACAGUGAGAAUAACACACAUGUUUAAAAUGCAGUUUAUUCACCUAGCAUUUGCAUUAUAUUAGGGAUCAUAGAGAUUUAGCAUUUACAGGAGUAUGUGUGCAGAUUAUAUGCAAAGCUACAUUAUUUUAUAUCAGCAACUUGAGCAUUGUGGAUUUUGGUAUCCUGAGGGAUUUCUGGAACCAGUUGCCCACUGAUCUCGAAGGAUGAUGAUGGUUAAUGUAGUGUGUGUGUGUGUGUGUGUGUGUGUGUGUGUGUGUGUGAACUGCUUGGUAGGAAAGCUACAGGAGAGACUGGGAAAGGCUAAUGGAGGGGUGACUGGAAGAGGUACCAAACCAUGAGAAGAAAUUACAGUCAGAAGGGACCCUCCAGUAUCGAAAGAUGAAGUUGUGAUUCAAACCAUAACAAUACAUGGGCUCAACAGUCUUGUUUAUCAAACCCUGCAGAACUGAACAGAGGAGAGCAGUUGCUUCUUGAGGGGGAAAGUUUAUGGAAGAAGAAAAUAACUUGUUUUCAACAGUUGAGGAAGGAGUUUCACCUUUGUCAUCUCACCUGAUCUGUACCCAGCACUGAGGGGAAGGGUGGGGACAAGUCAUUAUUCACAUUUGGCAGAUGAACAAACAGGUCAGAGAGAGUAAGUGACUCGGCUAAGCCCACACUGCCAGCUCUGCAGUCAGGAUCAAACCUGACUCUGAUUGAAGUUUCCUGCACUUGUCCCACCUUCGGGUUGUGAAAACUUGGGGUCUGUACUACAGUGUGGAAGACGUAGGAUCACUGAGAAAAAUGGCAAUUGCAAAUACUGUUCAAGCCUUAAGGAAAAGCCUUGAGUCUGUGAUAUGAGCAGAACUCAGAAGUGUUGAGUCAGAGCAGUCCAGCUGUCUUAAGCUCAGAUAGCUGCCCUUGUUAGAGGCUGCUGGUUGAGUAGCAAGUUUGUCAACUUGAUCCAACAUAAAGUUUAUGCAUUUUUAUUUAUAUUGUACAUGUAAAAAGUAGCUGUUUUUUUCGCUUCAGAGAUGGCCUCAGCUAUGCAAAAAUAAGAAGGAUCUGAAAGAUCAGUCUUAUCGUAAAGAAGAUGUCAGGCGACGUGGUUGAUGACCGCACAUUGUUCAUUCCCAAGGUCGUGGGUAGUGCCAGGAUUUUCAGACGCAAAUGAUGCAUGUGUAAAGAUGACUGGACCAUCUGUGUCUCUUCAAAUGCCUGUUGAGAUUACCAAGUGUUCCCAGCAAGGGUUAAUGUGGUGCAUGAACCUGACUAACCUCGGAUGCUAGUUUUCCCUCCCUGAAUAGAGAGUCUAGGAGCCAAGUUCCGGUGUGGAGGAAUUCACAAGAGAGGCAGGUUUAAUGGAAAAACAGACACUCUGAGGUCUUUGGAGGUCCUGUGAUGUGCUUGUCACCGGGUUCCUGCUUCUAACACCCCCACCACCGAGUGUCAACCAUGUGGUUUGUUCUUUGUGUACUUUGUUAGCUAAAGUCUCAAGUGUCAAGUUGAUGGCACUUUCAUUUUAGGUUCAUGGACACUGUUAUUAUCCAUUAAUUUGUUAGUCAUCAGUACUUUGUUGCAUCAGUAAAAUAAAACACUACGUUAGGAAUAUCAUGAUCAGAACAAGGUAGUUUCCUAAUUUUUAGAUUGCUGGCAUUUUCUAGCAAAUAAAGGCAAGGUGUGCAACUUGAGGUUUGAGGGGCCUCCCUGCAGAGGAAAUGAGUAGGCCUGACAGUUGCAAUCAGUAACAAAACAGGUUAAAAAGAAACAAUAGUUGAAGUACAGAGAAAAGUUUAA